rnacentral:rRNA from 1 species
GACAGAGGGGGCAAGCGUUGCUCGGAAUUACUGGGCGUAAAGGGCGCGUAGGCGGGAUGGCAAGUCGGUCGUGAAAUCCCUCGGCUCAACUGAGGAUCGUCGAUCGAUACUGCCGUUCUUGAGGAUUGCAGAGGAGACUGGAAUUCCCGGUGUAGCGGUGAAAUGUGUAGAGAUCGGGAGGAAUACCGGUGGCGAAGGCGGCAUCCUGGACCGGCAUUGACGCUGAGUGAGCGAAAGCCAGGGGAGCAAACGGG